rnacentral:rRNA from 1 species
CCUACGGGGCGCACCAGUGGGGAAUAUUGCACAAUGGGCGCAAGCCUGAUGCAGCCAUGCCGCGUGUAUGAAGAAGGCCUUCGGGUUGUAAAGUACUUUCAGCGGGGAGGAAGGUGUUGUGGUUAAUAACCGCAGCAAUUGACGUUACCCGCAGAAGAAGCACCGGCUAACUCCGUGCCAGCAGCCGCGGUAAUACGGAGGGUGCAAGCGUUAAUCGGAAUUACUGGGCGUAAAGCGCACGCAGGCGGUCUGUCAAGUCGGAUGUGAAAUCCCCGGGCUCAACCUGGGAACUGCAUUCGAAACUGGCAGGCUAGAGUCUUGUAGAGGGGGGUAGAAUUCCAGGUGUAGCGGUGAAAUGCGUAGAGAUCUGGAGGAAUACCGGUGGCGAAGGCGGCCCCCUGGACAAAGACUGACGCUCAGGUGCGAAAGCGUGGGGAGCAAACAGGAUUAGAUACCCCAG